AGGAACUGCUGAUGAAGAAUGAUGAUGAUGUGCUGUGCUGUGGAAGGCAGUGAGCUUCUUGGCAGAGGAGGUAUGUCAGCAGAGGAGGAAACCAAAGCACCAAGAGCUGGAGGAAGCUGUGGAGGAAGAAGAGGAGGAAGCCGCACCGUGCGAGAGGCGGGGUCUGCACUCAGGCAGACGGCCACAGGCCCGCAUGCCAGGCACAAGGGAAGCUUGGAAGGCACACUCUGGAAUGACCCGGCCCAGCUGCCGUCAUCAGUGGGUGACUCCAGGUCACAGGCAGUGAAGCUGGGAAGAGAACAGAGCCAUCUGGAGAGCAGGACAGAUGAGGACACUCUGGAAUUUUCCAAGAAGUAAAAUGUGGCUGCAGAGAAAUGGAACAAGUGCUUCCUCAGGGAGCCCUGAGGCGUGCUACUGUUGUCUAGUGAACGGUAUUCAACUGCUUCUCCCAUUGCCCCUCUCUCUGCUGGAUUAUUCAGCAGGAUCAGCCAUCCCCCAUCACACUCAGAUGCUAUAAUAGCUCCACCUUCAAACAAGCAAAUACACAAAACACCCUCUGACCAUAUGACUUUCCCAGCUACCACCCUUACUCUGCCCUACUUGACAGAAAACUUGAAAGCACUGUGCCUACUGCACACGCUGCCCCAAUCAUGUCUUGGUCCCCAUCACAUCACCCACAGCGCUAGGCUGCCAAGCCCAGUGGCCAGUUCUCAGCACCCAUUUGACUUGGCCUAAGAACAAAGGAUUGGACACCAGAUUCCUUCCUCGCUUACACAAUCUUCCCAUGGCUUCCAGGAGACUGCUCUCCUCUGGGAUUCCUCCUGCCUCCCUGGCACUCCUUGCCUUUUUGCCAAUUUCUCCUCUCCAUCCCGACCCCUAAUGCCGGUGAGUCCUGGGACGCCCUCUGAGGACCUCUUCUCUCCUCAGUGUGCACUCACUCUAGGAGGGGUCUCAGCCAGCGCCAUGGCUUUGCAUGCCCAUGACUUCCAACUUCUUAUCUCCACUUCUGGCCUCUCUCCUGAACCUCGGGCUCAGAUCCAGUUCCUGACAAGCGCCCCAACUUAACUGUGGCACCUCUAUUUGGGUGUCCCACAGGCUUCUCACAGCUUCUCAUGCCACCUGGACUUGUCCUGGUCUUCCUCCAUCUGCUCCUUCCUCCCUCGGUGAAGUGUGCCAUCACCCACUUGACCGCCCAAAGAGUGGCCACUGGGUUUGGCCACCUGGAGGUCAUGCACAGCUACUCAGCAUCUGGCCAACCACUCAGUUCCACCCCAGUGCCCAGCCCAAGGGUGCCACAGGGAGGGUGCUUGGCAAAGUGCUGUUGUAUUGUGUGGCACCUCCUAUGUCCAGGUCUGUGCAGGUUGGCAGGAGAGGUAGAGGGGCAGGAGGGGAGAAGAACUGCAAGUCCCCACCCUCCGUGGGCUGCUCCUCUGGGUGGAGCACCAGGAGGUCAGGCAGGGGAUGCAGACACAGCCCUCCCUCCAGGGCGUGUCCACUGGCCUUAGGCCACUCCCUCCACAGACAAGCGGGGCGUUGAGUCCGGAGAGAGCAGGGGAGGUAUCCUGCAGGAAGCAAGACCUGGGGUUGAGCAGAAUUAGUACUAGGUGGAGGAAGAUAGGCAGCGGGUAUGUUUGGGGACAGAAAAGAGUACAGCACAGCUAGAGAAGAGGACCCAGAGCAGACAGGAAUGGGCAGAGAAAGGAGGCAGAGAGGGCUGAGUGGCCUGGCAGGGCACCCCUCCUCUAGCUGGGGCUGUGUGUGCUGUUGGAGUAACGCUCACCCCCUGGUUGAUAUCUUUCAGAGGAGGAAGUGGUUAGGUUACCAGGUGGUUGGGGUGAGUGGGGAUUUGAACCUGACUCUGCCACCUCCAGACCUUGACCUCAUUCCCUUGUCCACGCUGCAUUUUACCCGCUGGCACCAGA